GCGAGGGUUGCCAAGUCGGCCAACGGCGCUGCGUUUAGGGCGCAGUCUCUAGGAGUUCAUGGGUUCGAAUCCCAUCCCUCGCA
rnacentral:tRNA from 1 species